GUGCAGUGGACAUGUCAGGCUUGCCAUCGGCCAAGAGAAGAAGGCCUUCCUGGCCCCCGAGUGCCUGUGGUUGGCGGGACCACCAGAAGAAGUGUGCCCCCACUAUGGGCACCUUGCCGACAGGAGUGACCAGACGGUGCAUUGGACAGGCCACGCUCGCCGUCGGUCGAGAGAAGGCCUCCCUGGCCCCCAAGUGCCUGUGAUUGGUGGGACCGCUGGAAAAGGUGUGCCCUGCUAUGGGAAUCUUACCGACAGGAGCACCCAGACGGUGCAGUGGACACACCAGGCUCGCCAUUGGCGGAGAGAAGAAGGCCUCCCUGGUCUCCGAGUACCUGUGGUUGGCGGGACUGCUGGAAGAGGUGUUGCCUGAGACGGGCACCUUGCUGACUGGAGCGUCCGGACGGUAAGCCUUCCCUGGGUGUCAGCUAGUGCCCCUGGCUUUAGGCUUUCGCAAGCCUGUCCAAAAGGCCACUAAGGAAGGUUGCUGGAAGGACAUGUGGGGUUUUGAACCCAGAGGGGCCUGUCCUUUAAUGGCUCUGCAUGUCCUGGGCCACAGGAAGACCCUGAGUCCUUCAGCUUGUCCCGCUGAGCCAUCUGGCCCACCAGGGUCGGCUGUGCAGGUGGCCCCGAAUGUGCUCGGAUCGAUGAUGACUCCCUCAACAGCAUUCCUUGGAAAGCUGAACAAAAUGAGUGAGAACUCCCUACCGUCUUUCUCGUCGAAACUGAGGUCCAGCACAUUGUCUACCCCAGGGAAGGUAAGGGUCAGGGACAGCAGGCUUCCCCUUGGUCACACUCCUUCAAGCACCAGCACCCACAGCCUCUGCCUAGGAGAGCCUCACGGGGGACUCAUGGUCAGGGAAGCAUUUACCACCUGAGCAGGGUUUCCAAGGCAUGCAGGUCCUGAGGGGAAUGGUCGGCGACUGGGGUCGAGGGGGGCAGCCGGUCCCCCAAGGCCUAGGGCUUCAACGGCGUGUCUUGUGGCACCGGCCCUUGGGAGUCGAGGGCUGGGACCUGUGUAGGCCAGGAUGGCCCCACAGGCAUAAGCUCGUGGCAGUGUGUGUUGAGAGGCCAAGCAUGGCAAGCUUGCCUGGCCUGUGGGUGGGGGUGCAGAGGCCCAGCCCGAGGCAGCAGCGAUCCCUGGACGAGCCCUUUCUCUCACUGACGUACGUGGAGCGGCCCCUGGCUCGGGCUUCUGGGCCAAGGCAAGAGGCCGGGCUGCGGCACCGGCCAGGUUGGAAACAUCGGCCCUGCCCGGCGUGGCGAGCGGAGCCCCUGGGUAGCUUGGUCACGCCCGCGGGCGAUUGCUCCCCCUUUCUCAGGUGCAGUGGCCACGCCAGGCUCGCGGUCGGCCGAGAGAAGAAGGCCUCCCUGGCCCCCGAGUGCCUGUGGUUUGCGGUACGGCCGGAAGAAGUGUGGCCCGGAACGGGCACCUUGCUGACGGGAGCGUCCGGACGGUGCAGUGGCCACGCCAGGCUCGCGGUCGGCCGAGAGAAGAAGGCCUCCCCGGCCCCCGAGUGCCUGUGGUUUGCGGUACGGCCGGAAGAAGCGUGGCCCGGAACGGGCACCUUGCUGACGGGAGCGUCCGGACGGUGCAGUGGCCACGCCAGGCUCGCGGUCGGCCGAGAGAAGAAGGCCUCCCCGGCCCCCGAGUGCCUGUGGUUUGCGGUACGGCCGGAAGAAGCGUGGCCCGGAACGGGCACCUUGCUGACGGGAGCGUCCGGACGGUAAGCCUUCCCUGGGUGUCAGCUAGUGCCCCUGGCUUUAGGCUUUCCCGGGGCUGCCCGAGAGGCCGCCAGUGCAGGUGGCCCGCUGGGCGUGUGGGGUUUUGCUCCCAGAGGGGCCUGUCCGUUCCUCUGGCUCAGCGGCGCGGCUCCGCACGGCCCGGGCACCGGGCGGACCCUGAGUCCCUCGGCUUGCCCCGCUGAGCCACCCGGCCCGCCUGGGUCAGCCGGCCGGGCGGCCCUGAAUGUGCUCGGAUCGAUGAUGACUCCCUCAACAGCAUUCCUUGGAAAAGCUGAACAAAAUGAGUGAGAACUCCCUCCCGUCGUUCUCAUCGAAACUGAGGUCCAGCACGUUGUCCGCCCCAGGGAAGGUAAGCGUCAGGGACAGCAGGCUUCCCGUUGGCCACACUGCUUCAAGCACCAGCACCCACGGCCUGCGCCUGGGAGAGGCUCGCGGGGUGUCUCCGGGUCAGGGAGCCGUUUCCCCGCCUUAGCAGGCUUUCCACGGCUCGCAGGGCCUGGUGGCAAUGAGCGGCACCUGAGGUCGAGUGGGGCAGCUGGUGCCCAAGGCCUGGGAGGUCACAGGCGUGUCUGUGGCACGGGCCCUGGGAGCCGCGGGCAGGGACCUGGCUGGCAGGGCCUGCGGGCGGUGGCUGGCGACUGGGGUCGAGGGGGGCAGCCGGUCCCCCAAGGCCUAGGGCUUCAACGGCGUGUCUUGUGGCACCGGCCCUUGGGAGCCGAGGGCUGGGGCCCGCGAGGGCCCGGACGGCUGUGCGGGCCUAAGCGCGCGGCGGUGUGUGUUGAGGGGCCGAGCGUGGCGAGCCUGGCAGGCCGUGGGGGGGCGCGGGAGCCCCAGCCCGAGGCGGCGGCCAUCCCUGGACGAGCCCUUUCUCUCACUGACGUACGUGGAGCGGCCCCUGGCUCGGGCUUCUGGGCCAAGGCAAGAGGCCGGGCUGCGGCACCGGCCAGGUUGGAAACAUCGGCCCUGCCCGGCGGCCACACAAGGC
ensembl:lncRNA